UGAGGAAUAUUGGUCAAUGGACGCAAGUCUGAACCAGCCAUGCCGCGUGAAGGAUGAAGGCCUUCUGGGUUGUAAACUUCUUUUAUGAGGGAAGAAACCCCGUUUUUCUAAACGGGCCGACGGUACCUUAGGAAUAAGCACCGGCUAACUCCGUGCCAGCAGCCGCGGUAAUACGGAGGGUGCAAGCGUUAUCCGGAUUCACUGGGUUUAAAGGGUGUGUAGGCGGGCAAGUAAGUCAGUGGUGAAAUCUCCAGGCUCAACCUGGAAACUGCCAUUGAUACUAUUUGUCUUGAAUGUUGUUGAGGUUGGCGGAAUAAGUCAUGUAGCGGUGAAAUGCAUAGAUAUGACUUAGAACACCGAUUGCGAAGGCAGCUAACUAAGCAACGAUUGACGCUGAGGCACGAAAGCGUGGGGAUCAAAC
rnacentral:rRNA from 1 species